CAGCAGCCGCGUAUACGGAGGAUCCAAGCGUUAUCCGGAAUCAUUGGGUUUAAAGGGUCCGUAGGCGGUUUAAUAAGUCAGUGGUGAAAGCCUAUCGCUUAACGAUAGAACGGCCAUUGAUACUGUUAGACUUGAAUUAGUGGGAAGUAACUAGAAUAUGUAGUGUAGCGGUGAAAUGCUUAGAUAUUACAUGGAAUACCAAUUGCGAAGGCAGGUUACUAUCACUAUAUUGACGCUGAUGGACGAAAGCGUGGGGAGCGAACAGGAUUAGAUACCCUGGUAGUCCACGCCGUAAACGAUGGAUACUAGCUGUUCGGAGCAAUCUGAGUGGCUAAGCGAAAGUGAUAAGUAUCCCACCUGGGGGGUACGUUCGCAAGAAUGAAACUCAAAGGAAUUGACGGGGGCCCGCACAAGCGGAGGAGCAUGUGGUUUAAUUCGAUGAUACGCGAGGAACCUUACCAGGGCUUAAAUGGGAGACGACAGGACUGGAAACAGUUUUUUCUUCGGACGUCUUUCAAGGUGCUGCAUGGUUGUCGUCAGCUCGUGCCGUGAGGUGUCAGGUUAAGUCCUAUAACGAGCGCAACCCCUAUUGUUAGUUGCCAGCGGGUCAUGCCGGGAACUCUAACAAGACUGCCGGUGCAAACCGUGAGGAAGGUGGGGAUGACGUCAAAUCAUCACGGCCCUUACGUCCUGGGCUACACACGUGCUACAAUGGGCGGUACAGAGAGCAGCCACUACGCAAGUAGGCGCGAAUCUUCAAAGCCGUUCUCAGUUCGGAUCGGAGUCUGCAACUCGACUCCGUGAAGCUGGAUUCGCUAGUAAUCGCAUAUCAGCCAUGAUGCGGUGAAUACGUUCCCGGGCCUUGCACACACCGCCCGUCAAG
rnacentral:rRNA from 1 species